AAACGGCUACCACAUCUAUGGAAGGCAGCAGGCGCGUAAAUUACCCAAUCCUAAUUCAGGGAGGUAGUGACAAGAAAUAACGGACUGAGGCCUAUGCUUCAGGAUUGCAAUGAGUUAAAUCUAAACCCCUUUUCGAGUAACAAUUGGAGGGCAAGUCUGGUGCCAGCAGCCGCGGUAAUUCCAGCUCCAAUAGCGUAUAUUUAAGUUGUUGCAGUUAAAAAGCUCGUAGUUGGAUUUCUGGUCGAAUGCUAAUGUCCUCUUGUUGAGUGUGCAUGUGCGUUCUUCCAUCCUUCUGUUAACUGUUCUGGUAUUGAUUUACUGGUUCAGAGCUCAGAUAUUUUACCUUGAGAAAAAUAGAGUGUUUAAGGCAGGCAUGCGCCUGAAUAACUUAGCAUGGAAUAAUAGAAUAGGACUUUGGUCUCCUUUGUUGGUUUGAGGGACUAGAGUAAUGAUUAAUAGGGACAGUUGGGGGCAUUAGUAUUUAAUUGUCAGAGGUGAAAUUCUCGGAUUUGUUAAAGACUAACUUAUGCGAAA
rnacentral:rRNA from 2 species